CAUACACCUCUAUUCCAAUCCCUCACACACACUCGCUACAGGCCUCCCUUUCACACUCCAUAAUUUUCAGAAUACACACACUCCGCCCCCCAUGCCUACAUUCUCUGUUAGCACUCAACACACUAUCUAUCCCUGCCUUCACUCCUCCCCAAAUAGCCUCGGCUACCCAUCCUUUCCUACUAGAUGUAUCAACUCUCACAUCACCCUACCUUUCCCAUCCUCCACUGCUAGCUCCCCCUCUACUACUCUCACAGGCCUAUUCUGUCCCUAACCGCUCAUCUCUCUACGCCUUUCUCACCUCACUUCCAUUACCUCAUUCUGUGCGCUCUGCCUAUUGCCAAUCACACAUAUUCACAUCAACUCCCUACAAACUCCCUUACACAUUUUUAAUCACAGAGUUCCUCUCUCUCACGGAACUCACUCACUCACCGAACUCCUC
rnacentral:lncRNA from 1 species